CGGACGUCGUCUCGCGGUGAUGACGUCAUCGCGCAGUCCGUCGCGAGUCUCCUGAAGUGAAAUGAGGUUUGAGGUAUAUUUACACACACAAAAGGAUAUAUUUUAAUUAUAUGAUUAAAAUUGAAAUAUAUAUGUUAGACGUUACUGUUAGACACUCCCUAAUGAGCCUGUGAGGAGCGGCGCGCGUCGUUUUGAGUUGGAUUAUCCACCCAACAAUUAACCAAUAAAUGCUGGAACAUUCACAUCAGUCUACAAGUGAAGAAGACGAUGAGAACAUCAUGUGAUCUGGAACCUUACAGAAUGGAACACGAAGAUACUGAAGAACAGAGAGACCAGAUUAAACAUUUCUUACUUUUGUUUUGGAAGAGAAUGGGGAGCGGGAAGAACUGAAGGAGAAACAUCAUCAUUUCAAAACUGGAGAAAAAUCUUUAAGUCGCUCACAGAAUAAAAGUAAAUUUGUAUUGAAAAAAAGAACCAAAAAAUCUUUCACCUGCCCUCAGUGCGGGAAACGUUUCACAAAAA
rnacentral:lncRNA from 1 species